ensembl:lncRNA
GAAAAACAUUUCUCCUGGUGGGUUGUGAAGCUGUUCAGCCUCUUGUCAGCUCUGUGUGCAGCUGAGGUGAAUAAGCAUGCAUGCAGUUGCCAAAAUGGGUUUCCUGAGUGAGUGAUCCUGGAGAAAGGAGCUGGCAAGGAGGCUAAAGGAAGCUGGCUUUUGUUCAGUGUUUUAUGGUUCUCUUUACUUUCACUUCCCAUAUAAAAAAAGCUGAAGGGAGGAAAAGAGUGAUUAAAAAGAAUAGGAACGAUCUCUAGAUGACUGAAUGAAAUUCUAUCUUUUUUUUUUUUUUUUUUUUUGCUUCUGGGCCAGUCGGUGAGGUUAGAGAAAUAAUUAUCCUUGUCGGUGGCUGUGUAUAUCAACCCAGUGAGGAGGCUGAGAUCUGUAAGAAAAGAAGGUAGAUCACACCUUGAUGACUGAGUAUUUCAAUCUAAUUCAUCUGGUGAACUACUGAAAAAUUAAAUUGUCUUGUGUCUGUGUUUCUAUGUGAGAUGAAGACGCACAUCUUCCUGAAAUAAGCACUCUGCUGAUAAAGAGGAUGGACUGAAGGCAAAAUGAUGGAUUACAAGGAAUGCUGCCUUCAAGCCUCCUUUGCUGGCGAGAGAUGUUAAGUACUACAGGGACAGAAAAUAGAAGACCAAUAGAGACAUCAGUGACAGGCCUCCCUAUCUAACUGCUCUAAAUCUCCAGGAGAGAGAGAUCUUUGUGAGUCCCUCACUGUAUUAUCAAAAAUCAACAUGUCUCAUCCCUGUCAAGACACAGAUGUGCCAAAAAUAUUGAAUGGAUCAGAGAAGCCAGAGCAGGCACCAGCCAGCCUGCUGUGGCUGCUUUUGUCCACUUUGAGUUAGACUGGUGCCAGUAACCUAAGACCUGCAAUUUCCAGAGCAAAGGGAAGGACAGAAUGAGUCAAUGAGAGCAAAGGUUAAACGAAUAUUUCUGUUGUCACUGAAUGGAGCUGCUAGAAAAUUCAUGACUGUCAGAAAGCUUCCUGCUUCCAGAAGGGAAAGAGCAGACAUUUCAACAAUCAGUUUCUGGCUGUUGAUCUCAGCUUUGGAUGAAAUAUCUCCUCUUUUGUGGAAUCUUACAAAGGUUUGAUAGUUUGAAUCAACCACCUGAACUUUGAACUGGAGCUAUGAGCACCUUCAGGGAAUAGAAAACUCGUGUGUUGAAGUAGAAGAAGAAUUAAUGCUUAGGAUGAGAGAUGUGUCUGGAAAGAUGUAAAGAAAUGAAGCAUUGGACAGAGAGUGAGCUGCAGCACGAUAUAGGCCCUGCCUUGCACCUGUUUUUGCUGCUGUGUUCUCCCAGUGUUCCAGAAUUGACUGUCAUAGUGCCUCAUGAGAAGUUGGUAUGGCUGUCCCAUGGCCAUCUCCAGAGUAUUGCUUGCCAGCUUUUUCUGUACCCAUUCCACAGCUGAAUCUCUUGGGUAGAGCAAGAACGUGUACUUGUGCUCCUUACAACAUGGCCUUGGGCAAUAGAAAGGUUUAUACAUCCCGUAUGGAACUUUAUGACUUCAGAGGUAUGUUGACUCUGUCCUAUUGAGGCGGGUGGAAAAAAUAAUGGCUAUGGAAGAAAGGACAAGCUUCUUUCAAGUCUCUAUUUGAAAAAGGCCCACUACCACUGGAUAGGAAGACAGGUGAUCAAGUGAUAUCUACGGUAACUGUAGCAGGUUUCACCACAAGGAUUCUGUUGUGCUUGAAGCCUUAUCCUUUCUGGGUGAUGUAAAGGCUCUGCAGAGCAUACUCAGAAGAACAUCGUAAAGUUGCCUGUUCCUUCUUUUGGAAGUAGACUCUCUUUUUCUCCUGGAGCCUGAGAAGAAGUUCCCUGUUCUUCAUAGAAUCAUAGAAUGGCCUGGAUUGAAAAGGACCAUAAUGAUCAUCGAGUUUCAUCCGGUCUUCUUCUCCGCUGCCUCAUCUUCUGGCACAGGGGGAAAACCUGCUUCUGCACCUUUAAGACUUGCUUCUUGAGUGUCCAGCCUUUCUGUAUCCCUUUGCCCUUCAGGACUGAACCUCAAGAGACCCUCCCUACCAGUGUCGUGAGUAGUUCAAAGUCUGCCCUUCGGAAGUCCAAUGUAGCAGUUCUGCUGGCCCUGCUCCUAACUUCACCAAGCAUAGAGAACUCUACCAUUUUGUGGCCGCCCUUCCCAAGACUGCUCCUGGCCUCUACAACUUUCACCAGUCCUUCUCUGUACGCAAACAAUCUUUUCGACAGCCUUGUUUCUUUGCUUUGCUGUUUUGAGUGCUUUAUUUUUGAGUGAUUUAUGUAUAUUCUGCUACUUUUCUGUAUGUUGUUGAUUUCUUAUUUAUCUUUCAUAUUGGUUGCUGUAUAUUCAUACAGGUUUGGGAUAUGGGAUCACAGAUAUAGUCUAAUGGUAAUACUGAGUAUGAAUUCUUGGUUGUACUAAUUGCUUUUUCAAAAAAGAAGUCUUUUUCCACAAACUUGCAGGUCUUAGCUAGAUCUCAUGAUAAGAGUUGUC